UGAGUAACACGUGGGCAACCUGCCUGUAAGACUGGGAUAACUCCGGGAAACCGGGGCUAAUACCGGAUAAUUCUUUCCCUCACAUGAGGGAAAGCUGAAAGAUGGUUUCGGCUAUCACUUACAGAUGGGCCCGCGGCGCAUUAGCUAGUUGGUGAGGUAACGGCUCACCAAGGCCACGAUGCGUAGCCGACCUGAGAGGGUGAUCGGCCACACUGGGACUGAGACACGGCCCAGACUCCUACGGGAGGCAGCAGUAGGGAAUCUUCCGCAAUGGACGAAAGUCUGACGGAGCAACGCCGCGUGAGUGAUGAAGGUUUUCGGAUCGUAAAACUCUGUUGUUAGGGAAGAACAAGUACCGGAGUAACUGCCGGUACCUUGACGGUACCUAACCAGAAAGCCACGGCUAACUACGUGCCAGCAGCCGCGGUAAUACGUAGGUGGCAAGCGUUGUCCGGAAUUAUUGGGCGUAAAGCGCGCGCAGGCGGUUCCUUAAGUCUGAUGUGAAAGCCCCCGGCUCAACCGGGGAGGGUCAUUGGAAACUGGGGAACUUGAGUGCAGAAGAGAAGAGUGGAAUUCCACGUGUAGCGGUGAAAUGCGUAGAGAUGUGGAGGAACACCAGUGGCGAAGGCGACUCUUUGGUCUGUAACUGACGCUGAGGCGCGAAAGCGUGGGGAGCAAACAGGAUUAGAUACCUGGUAGUCCACGCCGUAAACGAUGAGUGCUAAGUGUUAG
rnacentral:rRNA from 1 species